GCCGCGUGGGGGANGACGGCCUUCGGGUUGUAAACCUCUUUCAAUAGGGACGAAGCGCAAGUGACGGUACCUAUAGAAGAAGCGCCGGCCAACUACGUGCCAGCAGCCGCGGUAAUACGUAGGGUGCGAGCGUUGUCCGGAAUUACUGGGCGUAAAGAGCUCGUAGGUGGUUUGUCGCGUUGUUCGUGAAAUGCCACAGCUUAACUGUGGGCGUGCGGGCGAUACGGGCAGACUGGAGUACUGCAGGGGAGACUGGAAUUCCUGGUGUGGCGGUGGAAUGCGCAGAUAUCAGGAGGAACACCGGUGGCGAGGGCGGGUCUCUGGGCAGUAACUGACGCUGAGGAGCGAAAGCGUGGAGAGCGAACAGGAUUAGAUACCCUGGUAGUCCACGCCGUAAACGGUGGGUACUAGGUGUGGGUUUCCUUCCUUGGGAUCCGUGCCGUAGCUAACGCAUUAAGUACCCCGCCUGGGGAGUACGGCCGCAAG
rnacentral:rRNA from 1 species